CCUACGGGGGGCAGCAGUAGGGAAUAUUGCUCAAUGGGGGAAACCCUGAAGCAGCAACGCCGCGUGGAGGAUGAAGGUUUUCGGAUUGUAAACUCCUUUUGUUAGAGAAGUCAAUGACGGUAUCUAACGACUAUUCCCCGGCCAACUCCGUGCCAGCUGCCGCGGCAACACGGAGGGCGCAAGCGUUAUCCGGAAUUACCGGGCGUAAAGGGCGCGUAGGCGGGUUGGCAAGUCAGUUGUGAAAUGCUUUGGUUUAACCGUAGAACUGCAGUUGAAACUGUUAUUCUAGAGUUUGGGAGAGGUAGGUGGAAUUCUUGGUGUAGAGGUGAAAUCCGUAGAGAUCAAGAGGAAUACUCAUUGCGAAGGCGGCCUGCUAGAACAUAACUGACGCUGAUGCGCGAAAGCGUGGGGAGCAAACAGGAUUAGAUACCCUAGUAGUC
rnacentral:rRNA from 1 species